AAGCUGGGUGUGGUAGCACAGGCUUGUAAUCACACCACUCGGAAGGCUGAAGCAGGACAAACCUGAGUUCAAAGCCCUCCAGGACUACAUAGCAAGUUCGAGACUAGCCUGGGCUGCAUCCCCUCCCCCACCAAAUAAAGUCUGCUCAUAUCUGCUCAGAAAUUCUGGCAAGAGAUGGAAGACUGAGUCCUUCAGAAGUAAACAUGAAUCGGGAAUCAGAAGAGAAGGGUGAUGAGACCAGUUGAUUAUAGAUGAUAGGAAUCAUGUAUUAAUAUUCUACCUGAGCCAAGCAUUAGAACAGUACUAUGGUAAGCAGGGGGACUUGUGUGACUCGGUCACUUCAAGUCUCCCGUUUCAAACUGUGCCUCAGAGCAAUAAUGCCGUCCUACCGUGAAGACCAGCUAUGAAAUGAGAGCUGUGUCAGGCACUUGCACUCAUUGUCCCUGAGUCACACAAUGGCCUGCAAGAUGUCUGUCACCCCUCUUUACAGAUGAGAGUUAAGUUCAGAGAUGACUGUCUGGAGGUAGUGAACCAGGAGGCUGAAAGAGAUCGCCUCUGCCUCCCAAGGUGUUUCCCCCUCAUGUGCCAUCAUGGCAGAGUGGGCCUAUGAGACUAGUCCAGUCCUCUACAGUCCAGUAGAAAUAGCUGUGAAAAACAAAAGUGGUAUUUUAAAAUGAUGAUCUUCGGAUAGCUAUUUGGACCACUUAUAGGGACCAUUAUGUCUCUAUAGGUGUCCUAUGGGAGAGAGACCUCAUCAGAGAGACAUUUUUCCUUUAAAUUCAGAGUACUGGUGAAGGUCUCUGCUUAAGGCACGCCACAUUGAAACAGUCAUGAGAGUGCUGAGGCUGGUGAGAGGCUGAGGAAUUUCGAUGUCCUGGGAAAUCAAGGAGAGCUGCAGAGCAACAUAAGAUAAAGGUUCUAAGCAUCAGCAGAUGAGCUGCAAGGGAUUCCUAGACUUGGGAGAGAGUGUGCUUCUGAGAAACAAAACAGCCCCACAGCUACCUGGGAACUGCAGCGAAACUGAACAGACCCUUGAAGCUGUCGCUCCAGGAUGCUGACAGACCCUUGAAGCUGGCACCAGGCCUCAGCAGCUCUUUCUUCUUGAGUUUCAAAAUUGCUCCUAAAUUAGAAAGGAAUUGCAGGGGUCUUCUCUCGUUUUGACUGGUGCAUGACCCGGGGACUAUCAAAUGCUUU